rnacentral:rRNA from 1 species
CGUGUAGGCGGCUUGUCAAGUCAGAUGUGAAAGCCCUGGGCUUAACCCAGGAAGUGCAUUUGAAACUGGCAGGCUUGAGUAGGGGAGAGGGAAGUGGAAUUCCUGGUGUAGAGGUGAAAUUCGUAGAUAUCAGGAGGAACACCGGUGGCGAAGGCGACUUCCUGGCCCUAUACUGACGCUGAGACGCGAGAGCGUGGGUAGCAAACA